UACCAGCACCCCGAGUGGUCGGGACGAUUAUUGGGCCUAAAGCAUCCGUAGCCGGUCCUACAAGUCUUCCGUUAAAUCCACCUGCUUAACAGAUGGGCUGCGGGGGAUACUACAGGGCUAGGAGGCGGGAGAGGCAAGCGGUACUUUAUGGGUAGGGGUAAAAUCCGUUGAUCCAUAGAAGACCACCAGUGGCGAAGGCGGCCUGCCAGAACGCGCUCGACGGUGAGGGAUGAAAGCUGGGGGAGCAAACCGG
rnacentral:rRNA from 1 species